rnacentral:rRNA from 1 species
UACGUAGGGACCUAGCGUUGUCCGGAAUCAUUGGGCGUAAAGCGCGCGUAGGCGGCCCGGUAAGUCCGUUGUAAAAGUCGAAGGCUCAACCUUCGAAAGCCGAUGGAUACUGCCGGGCUAGAGUACGGAAGAGGCGAGUAGAAUUCCUGGUGUAGCGGUGGAAUGCGCAGAUAUCAGGAGGAAUACCGAUGGCGAAGGCAGGUCUCUGGGCCACUACUGACGCUGAGAAGCGAAAGCAUGGGGAGCGAACAGG